CUUCUUGCACGUAACCACUCUUUAAUGAUGAUUAACUCAAAGAGAAAAAUUGAAAAGCAGAGUUCAAAAAAAUAGAAAACAAAUUGUUAUUUUUGAAAGUAGAAUAAACAUAUACUUACAUAAAAAUUACAGAGAUUCUGAUUUAAAAUAUUUGCUAAUGAUACGUGACCAUGGAACUGCUCGUUAUCAAAACAAUCUAUGAUGG
rnacentral:lncRNA from 1 species